rnacentral:tRNA from 1 species
UAGCUCAGCUGGAUAGAGCAUUCGCCUUCUAAGCGAACGGUCGCAGGUUCGAAUCCUG